ACACUGGAUCCUUAACCCACUGAGUGAAGCCAGGGAUAAAACCCGCAUCCUCAUUGGACACCACAUGGGGUUCUUAACCUGCUAAGUCACAGCAGGAACUCCUGGGAGUUGGUAUCUAGGUUUCUGACUUUGUCAUUUUUUGCAGAUCUUUCAAGAGGUGGAAGAAUGAGGCUUUUAGAGUUAGAAUUCAGGGAUUUUAGUCACUUCAUCCUUGGGAUUUUGUAGUCAGAACCUUCCUUCUAUAAAUGGGAAAACUGAACCAUGGGGAUGUGUGUAACUUGCUGAAAGUUAGUUGGCAAUUUCCCAGUGAAGCCACGGUCAUGUCCAGGUGACUUGACAGCCUCAGUUAGUGUCCUUUCUUCCAUCACAUCAUCCACUACAGACUACCAGCUCUACAUUGUUGGGGCUGCAAGCUGUGGUCAAAUUAAAUAAAUGAAAAUACCACGUGGAAGAUCUUUCAUUUUCAAGGUUAUUCUCAGAGGUUUGAUAGAACUUUUGAACAACGGUCAUGCUCAGGUCUCAUUCUACUUGCUAGUGCUCUUGUUUCUUGGGUUAAGGUUUUCUGAAAUGUUUCCUUUCUUUUGAGUGAGAGGAGGUUGCUUUCUGAUUUUAUUUGGUUUUCGGAGUGGUAUUAAUAAUGUCUCUUGACAAAUUUCCAGUGGGACUGGAAAUUUGAUUUGGUAGAACUCUGGGAAAUUAAGUGGAAGGUGGAGGAAGAAAAUUGCAGCUUAACAUGAUCCAGGCUUGGGUCAGGACAUGGUUCAGUGUGAUGGAAGGGGCCAGCAGGGAGCCGAGAGCUCUGGCUUCCUUACUGCUUUGGUUUUCCUGAUGGGGAACUUCAUCUUUCUGGCCCCGUUGCUUGUUUCACCUUCCUUCUUUUUCUCUUUCUUUUCUUCCUUCCCAGCUAACACGUAUUUCUCACACAAGAGGGAUGUAUUUAGUGUCUAUGUAAGAUAGAAAGAAGCAUCAUAAAAUGAACAGUUUACCCACAGAGUAAACUCAGUAAAUACACUCAAUAAAUAAAGUAGUGUUUUGGCUUCAUUUCCCCUUAUGUAAAGUGAUGGGAUUGGACUAACUAGUGUGUGCAGAACCUUACUGCAAUGAUUUCAAAGUUGGGUUCUAUAAAUUUUUGAUCUUUCAAAAGUUGAAACACUUCCUUGAUAUCAAAACAAUGUGGUGAGGCUAUUUACAUAUUUAAGGGCUUUUUAAACUUUUCAGAAAUAUUUCAGACAGUCCUACGUAACCGGAAGUGGAUUGAGAUUAAACCUAAUACAGUUAGGAAGCAGAAGAAAAAAAAAUUAGUUGCAGGAGUUCCCAUCGUGGCGCAGUGGUUAACGAAUCCGACUAGGAACCAUGAGGUUGCGGGUUCGGUCCCUGCCCUUGCUCAGUGGGUUAACGAUCUGGUGUUGCCGUGAGCUGUGGUGUAGGUUGCAGAUGCGGCUCGGAUCCCGCGUUGCUGUGGCUCUGGCGUAGGCCGGUGGCUACAGCUCCGAUUCGACCCCUAGCCUGGGAACCUCCAUAUGCCGUGGGAGCGGCCCAAGAAAUAGCAA